rnacentral:ncRNA from 1 species
GAAAGAUGAAAAGCACUUUGAAAAGAGGGUUAAAUAGCACGUGAAAUUGUUGAAAGGGAAGCGCUUAUGACCAGACUUUUUCCCGGCGGAUCAUCAGGUGUUCUCACCUGUGCACUUCGCCGGGUUUAGGCCAGCAUUGGUUUCUGUAGGGGGAUAAAAGCGGUGGUAACGUGGUGGCGAGAUGGCAGUGGACGCAUGCAUGGGCGAAUUAGACUUGAAGUUG